AUUGAACGCUGGCGGCAGGCCUAACACAUGCAAGUCGAACGGUAACAGGAAGCAGCUUGCUGCUUCGCUGACGAGUGGCGGACGGGUGAGUAAUGUCUGGGAAGCUUCCUGAUGGAGGGGGAUAACUACUGGAAACGGUAGCUAAUACCGCAUAAUGUCGCAAGACCAAAGAGGGGGACCUUCGGGCCUCUUGCCAUCGGAUGUGCCCAGAUGGGAUUAGCUUGUUGGUGGGGUAACGGCUCACCAAGGCGACGAUCCCUAGCUGGUCUGAGAGGAUGACCAGCCACACUGGAACUGAGACACGGUCCAGACUCCUACGGGAGGCAGCAGUGGGGAAUAUUGCACAAUGGGCGCAAGCCUGAUGCAGCCAUGCCGCGUGUAUGAAGAAGGCCUUCGGGUUGUAAAGUACUUUCAGCGGGGAGGAAGGGAGUAAAGUUAAUACCUUUGCUCAUUGACGUUACCCGCAGAAGAAGCACCGGCUAACUCCGUG
rnacentral:rRNA from 1 species